CGAUGGCUGUCGUCAGCUCGUGUCGUGAGAUGUUCGGUUAAGUCCGCUAACGAGCGCAACCCUCGCUGUGUGUUACAAGUGUCACACGGAACUGCCGGUCAUAAACCGGAGGAAGUGGGGAUGACGUCAAGUCAGCAUGGCCUUUAUAUCCUGGGCUACACACGUGCUACAAUGGUUGGUACAACGAGUUGCGAGUCGGUGACGGCGAGCUAAUCUCUUAAAGCCAAUCUCAGUUCGGAUUGUAGGCUGCAACUCGCCUACAUGAAGUCGGAAUCGCUAGUAAUCGCGGAUCAGCACGCCGCGGUGAAUACGUUCCCGGGCCUU
rnacentral:rRNA from 1 species